AUGUUUCCAUUCAAGUUCAAGAGGAAGCAAUUUCCUGUAAGGCUUAGCUUUGCUAUGACGAUUAACAAGGCUCAAGGACAGACGAUUCCGAUUGUUGGCGUGUACCUACCUAAUCGGGUGUUCUCUCAUGGUCAACUCUAUGUCGCGUUGUCUCGAGCCACCGCGAAGAGAAACAUAAAAAUCCUCAUUGAGAAGGAGAAGGAGAAGGAUAAUGGCAAUAAGCAAAGUGGUAAAUCAAAGAACCGAAAAAGACUUUCCUUGUCCUUACAAACCUCAAUGAAAAACAUCGUCUAUAAGGAAGUCCUUACAGGCUGA
rnacentral:rRNA from 1 species